CCUACGGGGGGCAGCAGUGGGGAAUUUUGCGCAAUGCUCGUAAGAGUGACGCAGCGACGCCGCGUGAAUGACGAAGGCCUUCUGGUCGUAAAGUUCUUUCGACAGGGAAGAAAAUGCAUAUAAGUAACUGUGUAUGUAUUGACGGUACCUGUAUAAGCAGCCCCGGCUAACUCCGUGCCAGCAGCCGCGGUAAUACGGGGGGGGCGAGCGUGUGUCGGAGUGAUUGGGCGUAAAUGGCACGUAGGCGGUGUUGUAAGUCAUUAGUCAAAGACUAGAGCUCAACUUUCAUAAGGCUAGGGAUACUAUAAUACUAGAGUAUCAGAGAGGAUUGCAGAAUUCCUGGUGUAGCGGUGAAAUGCGUAGAUAUCAGGAGGAAUACCGUUAGCGAAGGCGGCAAUCUGGCUGGAAACUGACGCUGAGGUGCGAAAGCGUGGGUAGCAAACAGGAUUAGAUACCCGAGUAGUC
rnacentral:rRNA from 1 species